CACACUAUCAUUAACUGAAUCCAUAGGUUAAUGAGGCGAACCGGGGGAACUGAAACAUCUAAGUACCCCGAGGAAAAGAAAUCAACCGAGAUUCCCCCAGUAGCGGCGAGCGAACGGGGAGCAGCCCAGAGCCUGAAUCAGUGUGUGUGUUAGUGGAAGCGUCUGGAAAGGCGCGCGAUACAGGGUGACAGCCCCGUACACAAAAAUGCACAUGCUGUGAGCUCGAUGAGUAGGGCGGGACACGUGGUAUCCUGUCUGAAUAUGGGGGGACCAUCCUCCAAGGCUAAAUACUCCUGACUGACCGAUAGUGAACCAGUACCGUGAGGGAAAGGCGAAAAGAACCCCGGCGAGGGGAGUGAAAAAGAACCUGAAACCGUGUACGUACAAGCAGUGGGAGCCUCUUUAUGGGGUGACUGCGUACCUUUUGUAUAAUGGGUCAGCGACUUAUAUUCUGUAGCAAGGUUAACCGAAUAGGGGAGCCGAAGGGAAACCGAGUCUUAACUGGGCGUUAAGUUGCAGGGUAUAGACCCGAAACCCGGUGAUCUAGCCAUGGGCAGGUUGAAGGUUGGGUAACACUAACUGGAGGACCGAACCGACUAAUGUUGAAAAAUUAGCGGAUGACUUGUGGCUGGGGGUGAAAGGCCAAUCAAACCGGGAGAUAGCUGGUUCUCCCCGAAAGCUAUUUAGGUAGCGCCUCGUGAAUUCAUCUCCGGGGGUAGAGCACUGUUUCGGCAAGGGGGUCAUCCCGACUUACCAACCCGAUGCAAACUGCGAAUACCGGAGAAUGUUAUCACGGGAGACACACGGCGGGUGCUAACGUCCGUCGUGAAGAGGGAAACAACCCAGACCGCCAGCUAAGGUCCCAAAGUCAUGGUUAAGUGGGAAACGAUGUGGGAAGGCCCAGACAGCCAGGAUGUUGGCUUAGAAGCAGCCAUCAUUUAAAGAAAGCGUAAUAGCUCACUGGUCGAGUCGGCCUGCGCGGAAGAUGUAACGGGGCUAAACCAUGCACCGAAGCUGCGGCAGCGACGCUUAUGCGUUGUUGGGUAGGGGAGCGUUCUGUAAGCCUGUGAAGGUGUGCUGUGAGGCAUGCUGGAGGUAUCAGAAGUGCGAAUGCUGACAUAAGUAACGAUAAAGCGGGUGAAAAGCCCGCUCGCCGGAAGACCAAGGGUUCCUGUCCAACGUUAAUCGGGGCAGGGUGAGUCGACCCCUAAGGCGAGGCCGAAAGGCGUAGUCGAUGGGAAACAGGUUAAUAUUCCUGUACUUGGUGUUACUGCGAAGGGGGGACGGAGAAGGCUAUGUUGGCCGGGCGACGGUUGUCCCGGUUUAAGCGUGUAGGCUGGUUUUCCAGGCAAAUCCGGAAAAUCAAGGCUGAGGCGUGAUGACGAGGCACUACGGUGCUGAAGCAACAAAUGCCCUGCUUCCAGGAAAAGCCUCUAAGCAUCAGGUAACAUCAAAUCGUACCCCAAACCGACACAGGUGGUCAGGUAGAGAAUACCAAGGCGCUUGAGAGAACUCGGGUGAAGGAACUAGGCAAAAUGGUGCCGUAACUUCGGGAGAAGGCACGCUGAUAUGUAGGUGAAGCGACUUGCUCGUGGAGCUGAAAUCAGUCGAAGAUACCAGCUGGCUGCAACUGUUUAUUAAAAACACAGCACUGUGCAAACACGAAAGU
rnacentral:rRNA from 1 species